rnacentral:tRNA from 2 species
GCCCGCGUAGCUCAGUGGUAGAGCAUUGUACUUAUGAUGCAAGGGUCUCCAGUUCAAUCCUGGGCGUGGGCA